UACGUAGGUGACAAGCGUUGUCCGGAUUUACUGGGCGUAAAGGGUGCGUAGGCGGCUAUUUAAGUUUGGUGUGAAAUCUCCCGGCUCAACUGGGAGGGUGCGCCGAAUACUGAGUGGCUAGAGUGUGGGAGAGGAAAGUGGAAUUCCUGGUGUAGCGGUGAAAUGCGUAGAUAUCAGGAGGAACACCGGUGGUGUAAACGGCUUCUGGACCAUAACUGACGCUGAGGCACGAAAGCGUGGGUAGCAAACAGG
rnacentral:rRNA from 1 species